rnacentral:misc_RNA from 1 species
AACGCACAUUGCGCCCCUUGGUAUUCCGAGGGGCAUGCCUGUUCGAGCGUCAUUAUAACCACUCAAGCCUAGCUUGGUAUUGGGGUUCGCGUGCCCGCGGCCCUUAAAACUAGUGGCGGUGCCGUCUGGCUCUAAGCGUAGUAAUUUUCUCGCUAUAGAGUCCUGGUGGUUACUUGCCAGAACCCCCCACAUUCUUAGGUUGACCUCGGAUCAGGUAGGGAUACCCGCUGAACUUAA